AGCUUUGCGCAGUGGCAGUAUCGUAGCCAAUGAGGUUUAUCCGAGGCGCGAUUAUUGCUAAUUGAAAACUGAUAUCAUUUCACUGUGGAUUUAAUAUUUGGAAAUAGCAAAAAGUCACAUAGGGCAAAUUUGAUGAGCUGAGAGGCUG